CAGAGGGUGCAAACGUUGUUCGGAAUACUGGGCGUAAAGCGCGUGUAGGCGGCUUGGCAAGUCGGGUGUGAAAGCCCUGGGCUCAACCUAGGAAGUGCACUCGAAACUGCUUCGCUUGAGUGUCGGAGAGGAAAGCGGAAUUCUCGGUGUAGAGGUGAAAUUCGUAGAUAUCGAGAGGAACACCGGUGGCGAAGGCGGCUUUCUGGACGAUAACUGACGCUGAGACGCGAAAGCGUGGGGAGCAAACAGGAUUAGAUACCCUGGUAGUCCACGCCGUAAACGAUGGGUGCUAGGUGUCGCGGGCUUUGACUCCUGCGGUGCCGUAGCUAACGCAUUAAGCACCCCGCCUGGGGAGUACGGCCGCAAGGCUA
rnacentral:rRNA from 1 species